rnacentral:sRNA from 1 species
GCCCAGCCCCAGCCAGAGCCGCAGCCGCAGCCGCAGCCGGAGCCACAGCCAGAGCCCCUCGCCAUCACCCGCAAGAGAGAAGCUGACCAGGCCGGCCGCGUCCCCUGCUGUGGGCGAGAAGCUGAAAAAGACCGAACCUGCCGCUGGUAAAGAGACAGGAGCUGCCAAAGUCAGUAAGAAUUUGGAACUCGCCCGUCUAAUUCCCGUCAGCAGCAGUGCCCAGAGCUGGGCCCGGUGGGCCUGCAGGGGGGCCCGGGUGGGCUGGGAGAUCCAGCCCCAGGGACUGGGAGGGGA